rnacentral:ncRNA from 1 species
GUAAAUUCAAUGAUGAGAAGAGUAGAAAAUGUUAUAUCUUCAGCGAGUAGAGGUUUGGUGCAAGCUCUAUAGGUAGAUGUUUUUGAAGAGAAUCUCUAAGAAGUGUCUAAGCGUUUGUACGUGAGGAUAACCGUUAACCACGUUAUGGUUUUAAGUGGACAAUUAAGGUAGCUUAUUAAGAUACCUUAGUCAAUUAGAGUGGUACCGCGGAUAAUCCGUCUCUUGU